AGUGGUCGCCUGUCCCAGAGAGCUGGUGAGAUGAGGUGGGGAGGUGGCAGCUGAGUUUUAUGGUGAGAAAGUGGAGUUCGAAGAUGUCAUCAGCCCAGGUCACACAGAUGGUGGAGACCAGUGUGGAGCCCGGGAGUGGGCUGAGCAGAGCAUCUGGACUUUGAGCUUCCAUCAGACCCUGAGAUAGUCACCUGUCCUGGCUGCCUGGUGACCCUGGUGUGCUAACGUGGCACUUAUCUUGCUCUAUGGAGGCCCCUGGGCCCCCUAAACACCAGGUGGGUGCCUUCAGCCAGCCCCAUACUGACCUGUGAAGCCCAGGUAUUGCUGGCCAACCCACCCCACUCACAGACAGAAGCAGUUCUCCAUCUUUUGGCUUUAGCAGAUCUGCUUCAUUUCUCCUCCCCACAAAGCCUGGACUUUGUUCUGGGGGUAUCCCUGUUUGCAGUGAAGCUUUUUCACUCAGUGCUCAAUCUGAGCCCAACUCCACCCCACAUCUCUGAUUCAUAGACUUUUGUGACUGCCUUGACCAGUAGAGUAUGGCAGAAGAUGCUC
rnacentral:lncRNA from 1 species